rnacentral:rRNA from 1 species
UAGUCCACGCCGUAAACGAUGGAUACUAGCUGUUUGGAUUUAUCUGAGUGGCUAAGCGAAAGUGAUAAGUAUCCCACCUGGGGAGUACGUUCGCAAGAAUGAAACUCAAAGGAAUUGACGGGGGCCCGCACAAGCGGUGGAGCAUGUGGUUUAAUUCGAUGAUACGCGAGGAACCUUACCAGGGCUUAAAUGUAGUGUGAUAGGUUUAGAGAUAAAUUUUUCUUCGGACAUAUUACAAGGUGCUGCAUGGUUGUCGUCAGCUCGUGCCGUGAGGUGUCAGGUUAAGUCCUAUAACGAGCGCAACCCCUAUCGUUAGUUGCCAGCAUUUAAGAUGGGGACUCUAACGAGACUGCCGGUGUAAACCGUGAGGAAGGUGGGGAUGACGUCAAAUCAUCACGGCCCUUACGUCCUGGGCUACACACGUGCUACAAUGGUAGAUACAGAGAGCAGCCACUAUGCAAGUAGGAGCAAAUCUAUAAAGUCUAUCUCAGUUCGGAUCGUAGU